rnacentral:lncRNA from 10 species
AAUUUCAAAAACAUUUUUAUUAGUUCUUUAAUCAAAUGAGAAAAAAGGUUAAGCAGAAAAAGAUGAACCCACAUUUGUAAAAAGCGAUUUCCUCCAAAUUUUGAAGAAAAAAAUUUUUAUUCUAAGAAAUACAUAUUCGUUAUAGAAAAUUUGGAAAAUACAGAGAAUAGAGAAAAUGUGAAUUUCCCAGAAUCCAACAACACACAGAUAACCUUACAGUUUUACUAUUUUCUAUAUACAUGUGUAUUUUUAAACAAUUUGCUCUUUUCUUCUUCCCCACCCUACCUCCCAAAAAAGUGGGGAAGGCAGCUCCUGGUGGGCCACACCUGAGCCUGCCUCUCCACCAUUCCAUCCUCACCACCGGCCUCCCUUCCGCUGAGCUGUGGCCCAUUUCCUCGCUUACGUCCCAGACUUUUCUAUAAACACACAAUCCACCCCAUGGCAUGCCAAGGCUGCUCUGCUCCCAGAACUGCCAAUGCCCAGCGAAACGGGAGGACUCAAAGUCAACUGCCAAGCUACCUUCUUCACUCCAGAGCCAGGAUCCAGGGAACACUGAAGAUUUAUCUCAGCUGACCAACAACGGAGCAGUAACUAACACCUCUUAAAAUGUAUAUAGCACUUUAAGUUUAAAAAGUCCUCCCACACACAUUUAAUGUUCACAAAACCCUCAGAGGCAAACAGAACAGAUAUCCCCAUUUAACAGAAAAGGAAACCGAGGCACAGAGGGGUUGGGUGAAAAGCAAAACUAGUGAAUGGUAGAGCUUGGAUGUGGAGCCAUAAAUUGACUCCAAGGUCAGAGCUCUUUAACAUAGCCAUUAUUAGCAAACUAUUUUUAAUCUGACCACUGGAAAUUAAGAGUCAGAAGGAUCUUUAAUAAAUCCUAUAAUCUAGUAGCCUUUUAGUAGUCACAUGUAAGGAACAUAAGGCCCGGAAAAACUAGAUGACUGACCAAAGUCGCCAGCUAGUAAGUGACGAAGUAGGUCUGAAGGCACAAUCUUCAGACUCCCAGGCCAGUGCUCACUCCAGUCGUCCCUAGAGAGAGAGAGAUGGUCUGUAAUAGGUGUUCUCUCAUCCGGUGUCUUCUGCUUAGCCAAAUGUCAAUCAGGAAUUAAAAUCCUAAAAGUGCAGAAUGUUAGAGCCAGAAAGGACCCUAAGGACCACUCAGGCAACGCCCUGGCUUCACAGAUGAGGAAUGUGAAUCCAAGCCCCUGAUGUUCCAUUCUGUGUAUCUUGCACCCAUCAUGUUACUUCGCUUCCCAACAGAGUCAGAAAUUAAAUCUGGCCAAAGACGUUUACUUCCUUCUUUGACACUCAGUGUCUCUUUGACACUCAGUAUGAGGCAGGCCACAGAUCAGCAAAGCGAAAGUGAAAUUAAACAGGAUUUGACAUUCAGAAGAUACUUGGUUGGUAACAGAUUUACCCACCAUGACUGUAUCACAAAAUAACCAACUGCUGAGUUCCAAGGAGGCUCCCCGACUCUGCCUCUGUCCUCCACCUCCCCUCCCCAGCGAGCCAGAGAGGGUCUAUUGAAAUGUGUCCCUGGUUUAGGAAAGGGUGCCCACGGUCCUCCAGAAGUCACAUGUCCCUGCAAUUUGUGAAAAUGUAGCAAUAUUCUGGCCAAAAGCUUCUACUCCGCGAGUCAACCAGGAGCACCUCCCCAGGCUGUCCCUCCUCCUAAGGUCACUAUCUCGGCACCAUCGAAAUCCGCACGUGACUGUCCAUCACCUUGAUUCUUCGGCAGUUCCUUGGUACCAUGGCUAGCCUUAUCUCUCCAGUGAGACGGGAAGCCCUUUGAGGGAAAGGGACCACUUCCUCUACUGAACAGCUACUACGUGCCAGACAAUGUGCUUGGCAGGGUAAGACAUGGCUCCUACCUUCAAGAAACUUACAGAAGGAUAAGAAAAACCAUGUGCAAAAAAGUAAGCACAGUCACGUAGGUAUAAACAGGAAGCCAAGGAGCCCAGAAGAGGGGCAUAUACUGGCGGGGUGGGAUAGCUGCCCGGUCUUAAAAGGCAAAAGAAGGCGGGAGGGCAAGCCAGGCAGGAAGGCCAGCGUCAAGGAGAGAAGCGGCUUGGUUUACAGGAGAUAAAAACAGUUCGAAGUUGCUGGAACAUCAAGCGCAAGGCAGGGAGCGGUGGGAGUUCAGGCUGGAGCGGUGGGGCCUAGCAAGGUGGCCACAGGCACAAGCCCGCGUAAUUCCCAGAGGUUGGGUACCGGAGGGCCGCUUACGCAAUUCGCAAGUGAACGAAUUUGGGCGCCCAUGGCGAGGCUCUGUCAGUGACGGUCGGUGGUGGCGCCGCCAGCCAGCCCCCCGCCCCCGUGCACCUGUGCGCCUUCGCAGCUGCCAAAGCAAACGCAGGCUCCCCGACUUCGCCAGAUUUUCAAAGCGGGCUGCCAGCCCCGGGCCACUGCCACGGCCGCUGCUGCUGCUGCUGGGGCUGGAGGCUCAGCCUCCCAAAAGAUUGAAGGAAACUGUCCUCCAUGGGCAGGAGGGCUGGCUGCGAGAGCCCCGGGUUCCCUUUACUGAAGUCACGGUCUUGGCCAAAGCUGUUGUUUUUGUGAC